rnacentral:tRNA from 1 species
UCGGGGGUCGUCUAAAGGUAGGACGGUGGUCUUUGGAACCACCAAUCAUGGUUCGAAUCCAUGCCUCCGAA